rnacentral:rRNA from 1 species
UACGUAGGGAGCAAGCGUUGUCCGGAAUCAUUGGGCGUAAAGCGCGCGUAGGUGGCCACAUAAGUCCGUUGUGAAAGUCAAAGGCUCAACCUUUGAAAGCCGAUGGAUACUGUGUGGCUAGAGUACGGAGGAGGCGAGUGGAAUUCCUGGUGUAGCGGUGGAAUGCGCAGAUAUCAGGAGGAACACCAACAGCGAAGGCAGCUCGCUGGGACGUUACUGACACUGAGGCGCGAAAGCGUGGGGAGCGAACAGG